AUGGCGCCGUCCGCCAGCUCCUCCUCCUCCGACGGCACGGACUCCACCGGUUCCUCCUCCUCAUCGGGGAGCGACCGCCGCGUCCGCCGCCGCCACAGCCGCCGCAAGGACGCCGCGCCGUCCACGUCCUCCUCCUCCGCGCUGAAGGUGCGCAAGGACCGCAAGUCCCGCCACAAGCGCCGCCGCCGGGAGAGGCGCAAGUCCCGUUCGGACGACGACAGCUACAGUAGCGCAAGCUCUUAUGAUAGUGACCGCGAGGCAUCUGGCAGAUCACGCAAGCAUAAGAAGAGCAGUAGAUCAAGGAAGUCUAGGGAAAGAGAGCGAAGCAAGGAUAGGCAUCAUAAACGGGACAAGAGUAAACACAGAGAGAAGAAAGAGAGUGAACGUUCUAGCGGUCCGGUCCAGCUUUCCAAGUUCCUUGGCCGUGAGAAGGAGGAAAGCGGCAAAAGGAGUGUUAUCUCUGGUAAAAAGAUAAUGAUGAAGCUCGAGAAAUCCAAGGAAGAUAAGGCGGCUGAGAGCAAGCGCAAUGAACUGUUGAAGUUUCUGAAUGCCAGUUAUGAUUGA
rnacentral:rRNA from 1 species